GCAAGCCAAAGGCAGCUACUGGUUAUUCGUUAACUAAGGAAACUCCAUCCAUCAAUACAAAAAACUAUAAUGCUAACGCAUAUACUGAGAAGUAUGACCCUGGAGCAGAAACGACACGUCUUUUAAUGAAUGAAUAUGAUGCAAAAUAGCUGAUUGACAUUGAAAGGAUCGGUGAAACGGCCAAUCUAUAGUGAUGCAAGGACAAACAUGCUGAUGAUAAAUUUUGUAAUGAGGCAAGGUAGUCUGCGUAGAUGAAUGCUGCAUAAACAGAAGGUGGGUUACUCUUGGCAGGC
rnacentral:RNase_P_RNA from 1 species